rnacentral:rRNA from 1 species
AAAUUCCGUCGGAAUCUGGGAGGACCAUCUCCUAAGGCUAAAUACUCUCUAGUGACCGAUAGUGAACCAGUACCGUGAGGGAAAGGUGAAAAGCACCCCGGAAGGGGAGUGAAAUUGAACCUGAAACCGUGUGCUUACAAGUAGUCAGAGCCCGUUAAUGGGUGAUGGCGUGCCUUUUGUAGAAUGAACCGGCGAGUUACGAUUUGAUGCAAGGUUAAGCAGUAAAUGUGGAGCCGUAGCGAAAGCGAGUCUGAAUAGGGCGUUUAGUAUUUGGUCGUAGACCCGAAACCAGGUGAUCUACCCUUGGUCAGGUUGAAGUUCAGGUAACACUGAAUGGAGGACCGAACCGACUUACGUUGAAAAGUGAGCGGAUGAACUGAGGGUAGCGGAGAAAUUCCAAUCGAACCUGGAGAUAGCUGGUUCUCUCCGAAAUAGCUUUAGGGCUAGCCUCAAGUGAUGAUUAUUGGAGGUAGAGCACUGUUUGGACGAGGGGCCCCUCUCGGGUUACCGAAUUCAGACAAACUCCGAAUGCCAAUUAAUUUAACUUGGGAGUCAGAACAUGGGUGAUAAGGUCCGUGUUCGAAAGGGAAACAGCCCAGACCACCAGCUAAGGUCCCAAAAUAUAUGUUAAGUGGAAAAGGAUGUGGCGUUGCCCAGACAACUAGGAUGUUGGCUUAGAAGCAGCCAUCAUUUAAAGAGUGCGUAAUAGCUCACUAGUCGAGUGACACUGCGCCGAAAAUGUACCGGGGCUAAACAUAUUACCGAAGCUGUGGAUUGUCCUUUGGACAAUGGUAGGAGAGCGUUCUAAGGGCGUUGAAGCAUGAUCGUAAGGACAUGUGGAGCGCUUAGAAGUGAGAAUGCCGGUGUGAGUAGCGAAAGACGGGUGAGAAUCCCGUCCACCGAUUGACUAAGGUUUCCAGAGGAAGGCUCGUCCGCUCUGGGUUAGUCGGGUCCUAAGCUGAGGCCGACAGGCGUAGGCGAUGGAUAACAGGUUGAUAUUCCUGUACCACCUAUAAUCGUUUUAAUCGAUGGGGGGACGCAGUAGGAUAGGCGAAGCGUGCGAUUGGAUUGCACGUCUAAGCAGUAAGGCUGAGUAUUAGGCAAAUCCGGUACUCGUUAAGGCUGAGCUGUGAUGGGGAGAAGACAUUGUGUCUUCGAGUCGU